rnacentral:lncRNA from 1 species
UGGAUAAGGUUUCUAUAGGCAUUGAUUUUGGGUGAUUUGAAGUUGUUAUGACUUUGUAAGAGCUUUACAAAGUCAAGGUUUGUUUCAGAUGACUUGGAUUUUAUGAAAUAAAAUAGGGUUUACAUUUUGGGUGAUUUCGAGAGUUUUGUAGUAGAUCUAUGGGUGAAAUUUUGUGGGUUUAUGGUCAUAGUUGUAUUCAAUAUGUGUUGUGAAUUUGAGCUCGAUCUAACGGUUGAAUUGAGGAAUAUUGAGGUUUAAGUGGGUCAAGGUCUCAGAAAGCAGAAUUUUAGGUCUAGUGAGAGUUUUUAAGAUUUCUUG